rnacentral:rRNA from 1 species
UACGUAGGGGGCUAGCGUUGUCCGGAAUCAUUGGGCGUAAAGAGCGUGUAGGCGGUCCGGUCAGUCGGUUGUGAAAACCUGGGGCUCAACCCCGGGCCUGCAGCCGAUACGGACAAGCUAGAAUUCGGUAGGGGAGACUGGAAUUCCUGGUGUAGCGGUGAAAUGCGCAGAUAUCAGGAGGAACACCGGUGGCGAAGGCGGUUCUCUGGGCCUUACCUGACGCUGAGGAGCGAAAGCGUGGGGAGCGAACAGG